GGAGCCCAUCUUCUUCUUUGACUCAUCCUCUUCGGCCUCAAACAUCUCGAGUUCCUCCACCCAACAAGAGAUGGGCCAAAUGUUGGGAAGGUAAGCCCUGCCCAGGGUGACAGGGUCACAUACAGCUGUGAGUCCUCGAACUGGCCCUGGGCCUCUCUGAGCUUCAGCCCUCUCCUCUGAACUGUGGGGUGCCAAGAUCACUGACCUCAUGGUAGGAAAGGCCAGGACUCUCAUACUGCUGGACCCAUCUGUCUUGGGUGGUCUCCUGCCUCUCUCACUUGCAUUUGCCUCACUACCCACUUGGUAAUGUCCACAGCCAGGUCACUGUCACAGGCCCCGAGGAGGACGACAAAGGACACCAGGUCCCAGCCUUGACAGGAAACCUGGAGCCCAUGGAGGAACAGGCGGAAGCCGCUCUGGUGCUUGUGGAAGCUCCAAUUCGAGGUCCACCAUCUCCACCAUCUGAUAGAGAACUGGAGCUGGACAAACCUGCAGUGGAUGAUCAGGGUCAACACCCCCUGCUGGCCCUUCAGUCAGCACUGCAUCUAGAGAGGAAUCCAGAGCCUCUGUUCUUCUCCCAGAUCAUUUGGUUGUUUGUUUUUAUAAUCUGUGUUUAUUAUUCUAUUAUUUAGAAUUAAAGAUUUAUUUUCAUUGUUAAAAGAUGCAGUCAUUUGUCAUCAAGUGCCUUCUCUAAACUGUGCACUAGUCACCACUAUGCAGUUCCAGAACAUCUUCUGGAAUUCGGUAUCCAUGACCACUGCCUCCCCACCCUCCUGCUAGUCCCUAGCGACCCCUUAGCUUCUAGUCC
rnacentral:lncRNA from 1 species